CGGGGGUUAGAACUGUCNCCGGACGGGCUCUAGAGAUAGGGCGUUCCCUUUGGGAACUGGUGCAGAGUUGUUGCAAUGACUGUCGUCAGCUCGUGUCGUGAGAUGAUGGGUUAAGUCCCGCAACGAGCGCAACCCUCGUCCGUAGUUGCCAUCAUUAAGUUGGUAACUCUACGGGAGACUGCCGGUGACAAACCGGAGGAAGGUGGGGAUGACGUCAAGUCAUCAUGGCCCUUAUGGCCAGGGUUACACACGUGCUACAAUGGUCGGUACAGAGGGUUGUAAGCCGCCACUUGUAGCCAAUCCCAGAAAACCGAUCCCAGUCCGGAUUGGAGUCUGCAACUCGACCCCAUGAAGUCGGAAUCGCUAGUAAUCGCGAAUCAGCUAUGUCGCGGUGAAUACGUUCCCGGGCCUUGUACACACCGCCGUCACACCAUGGGAGUUGGCUGCACCAGAAGCAGGUAGUCUAACCGCAAGGAGGACCCCUGCCACGGUGUGGUCAAUGACUGGGGUG
rnacentral:rRNA from 1 species